rnacentral:rRNA from 1 species
UACGUAGGGGGCAAGCGUUGUCCGGAUGUAUUGGGCGUAAAGAGCGUGUAGGCGGCCAGACAAGUCUGCUGUGAAAACUCGAGGCUCAACCUCGAGCUGUCGGUGGAAACUGUCUGGCUAGAGUCCGGAAGAGGAGAGUGGAAUUCCUGGUGUAGCGGUGAAAUGCGCAGAUAUCAGGAAGAACACCUAUGGCGAAGGCAGCUCUCUGGGACGGUACUGACGCUGAGACGCGAAAGCGUGGGGAGCGAACAGG